GCCGGGCGCAGUGGCUCAAGCCUGUAAUCCCAGCACUUUGGGAGGCCGAGACUGGCGGAUCACGAGGUCAGGAGAUCGAGACCAUCCUGGCUAACACGGCGAAACCCCGUCUCUACUAAAAAAAAUACAAAAAACUAGCUGGGCGAGGUGGCNNNNNNNNNNGCCACCUCGCCCAGCUAGUUUUUUGUAUUUUUUUUAGUAGAGACGGGGUUUCGCCGUGUUAGCCAGGAUGGUCUCGAUCUCCUGACCUCGUGAUCCGCCCGUCUCGG
rnacentral:SRP_RNA from 1 species